rnacentral:rRNA from 1 species
GAUGAACGCUGGCGGCGUGCCUAAUACAUGCAAGUAGAACGCUGAAGGAAGGAGCUUGCUCUUUCCGGAUGAGUUGCGAACGGGUGAGUAACGCGUAGGUAACCUGCCUGGUAGCGGGGGAUAACUAUUGGAAACGAUAGCUAAUACCGCAUAACAGUAGAUGUUGCAUGACAACUAUUUGAAAGGGGCAAUUGCUCCACUACCAGAUGGACCUGCGUUGUAUUAGCUAGUUGGUGAGGUAACGGCUCACCAAGGCGACGAUACAUAGCCGACCUGAGAGGGUGAUCGGCCACGCUGGGACUGGGACACGGCCCAGAACACUACGGGAGGGAGCAGGAGGGAACCUUCGGCAUUGGACGGAAGGCGGAACGAGCAACGACGGGUGAGAGAAGAAGGUUGUCGGAUCGUAAAGGUCAGUUGUAAGAGAAGAACGAGUGUGAGAGUGGAAAGUGCACACUGUGACGGUAUCUGAGCAGAAAGGGACGGCUAACUACGUG